UGGCGGCGUGCCUAAUACAAUGCAGUCGAGCGCAGGAAACCGUCUGAACCCUUCGGGGGGACGACGGCGGAAUGAGCGGCGGACGGGUGAGUAACACGUAAAGAACCUGCCCAUAGGUCUGGGAUAACCACGAGAAAUCGGGGCUAAUACCGGAUGUGUCAUCGGACCGCAUGGUCCGCUGAUGAAAGGCGCUCCGGCGUCGCCCAUGGAUGGCUUUGCGGUGCAUUAGCUAGUUGGUGGGGUAACGGCCCACCAAGGCGACGAUGCAUAGCCGACCUGAGAGGGUGAUCGGCCACACUGGGACUGAGACACGGCCCAGACUCCUACGGGAGGCAGCAGUAGGGAAUCUUCCACAAUGGACGAAAGUCUGAUGGAGCAACGCCGCGUGAACGAUGAAGGCUUUCGGGUCGUAAAGUUCUGUUGUAAGGGAAGAACAAGUGCCGCAGGCAAUGGCGGCACCUUGACGGUACCUUGCGAGAAAGCCACGGCUAACUAC
rnacentral:rRNA from 1 species